rnacentral:rRNA from 1 species
UACGAAGGGGGCUAGCGUUGUUCGGAAUUACUGGGCGUAAAGCGCGCGCAGGCGGCUAUCCAAGUCAGUGGUGAAAGCCCGGAGCUCAACUCCGGAACUGCCAUUGAAACUGUUUAGCUUGAGUAUGAGAGAGGUGAGUGGAAUUCCCAGUGUAGAGGUGAAAUACGUAGAUAUCUGGAGGAAUACCGGAGGCGAAGGCGGGUAACCAGCUGGACACUGACACUCAGAUCCGAAAGUGUGGGGAUCAAACAGG